CCUACGGGAGGCAGCAGUGGGGAAUUUUGGACAAUGGGGGCAACCCUGAUCCAGCCAUGCCGCGUGCGGGAAGAAGGCCUUCGGGUUGUAAACCGCUUUUGUCCGGGAAGAAAAGGCACCUCCCAAUACGGGGUGUCCUUGACGGUACUGGAAGAAUAAGCACCGGCUAACUACGUGCCAGCAGCCGCGGUAAUACGUAGGGUGCGAGCGUUAAUCGGAAUUACUGGGCGUAAAGCGUGCGCAGGUGGUUCGCUAAGUCUGAUGUGAAAGCCCCGGGCUCAACCUGGGAACUGCAUUGGAAACUGGCGAGCUUGAGUGUGGCAGAGGGGGGUGGAAUUCCACGUGUAGCAGUGAAAUGCGUAGAGAUGUGGAGGAACACCGAUGGCGAAGGCAGCCCCCUGGGCUGACACUGACACUCAGGCACGAAAGCGUGGGGAGCAAACAGGAUUAGAUACCCUGGUAGUCCACGCCCUAAACGAUGUCAACUGGGUGUUGGGGGAGCGAUUCCUCAGUACCGUAGCUAACGCGUGAAGUUGACCGCCUGGGGAGUACGGCCGCAAGGUUAAAACUCAAAGGAAUUGACGG
rnacentral:rRNA from 1 species